UACAGAGGGGGCAAGCGUUAUUCGGAAUUAUUGGGCGUAAAGGGCGCGUAGGCGGACAUUUAAGUCAGAGGUGAAAUCCCGGGGCUCAACCUCGGAACUGCCUUUGAUACUGGAUGUCUUGAGUGUGAGAGAGGUAUGUGGAACUCCGAGUGUAGAGGUGAAAUUCGUAGAUAUUCGGAAGAACACCAGUGGCGAAGGCGACAUACUGGCUCAUUACUGACGCUGAGGCUCGAAAGCGUGGGGAGCAAACAGG
rnacentral:rRNA from 1 species